UACGUAGGGGGCGAGCGUUGUCCGGAAUUAUUGGGCGUAAAGCGCGCGUAGGCGGCCCCGCAAGUCGGCCGUGAAAUCUCCGGGCUCAACUCGGAGGGGUCGGGCGAGACUGCGGGGCUCGAGGUGGGCAGAGGGCAGUGGAAUUCCGGGUGUAGUGGUGGAAUGCGUAGAGAUCCGGAGGAACACCAGUGGCGAAGGCGGCUGCCUGGGCCUGGCCUGACGCUGAGGCGCGAAAGCGUGGGGAGCAAUCCGG
rnacentral:rRNA from 1 species